GACGAACCGUGCGAACGUUAUUCGGAAUCACUGGGCUUAAAGGGUGCGUAGGCGGGUUGCCAAGUCUGUGGUGAAAUCCUCCGGCUUAACCGGAGAACGGCCGUGGAUACUGGCGACCUCGAGUGGGGCAGGGGCUUGCGGAACUGUGCGUGGAGCGGUGAAAUGCGUUGAUAUGCACAGGAACUCCGGUGGCGAAGGCGGCGAGCUGGACCCUAACUGACGCUGAGGCACGAAAGCCAGGGGAGCGAACGGG
rnacentral:rRNA from 1 species